UACGAAGGAUUCGAGCGUUAUCCGGAUUUAUUGGGUUUAAAGGGUGCGUAGGUGGAUUAAUAAGUCAGUGGUGAAAGCCCGGAGCUCAACUCCGGAACUGCCAUUGAUACUGAAGAUCUUGAGUUCGGGAGAGGUGAGUGGAACUGCGAGUGUAGAGGUGAAAUUCGUAGAUAUUCGCAAGAACACCAGUGGCGAAGGCGGCUCACUGGCCCGAUACUGACGCUGAGGCACGAAAGCGUGGGGAGCAAACAGG
rnacentral:rRNA from 1 species